CGCCGCCGUCCCUUCUCCCCAAAUCAAAUCCAUCCUCUACUCCAUGGAUUCCACAUCGACACUCUCGAGGAGGGCGAUCUAGCCCGGAAUCUCACCAAUUCAGGUUCCAAUCCCCUCGCCGGAGAUGGCCACCGUCAAUCCCUUCGAUCUCCUCGGCGAUGACGACAACGACGAUCCCUCGCAGUUGAUCGCCACUCAGCAGCAGAAGCUCGCCGCUGCGGCGGCGGCGGCCGCCAAGAAAGCCGCCGCCGCGCCACCGGCGGCCAAGCUCCCGUCGAAGCCCCUCCCUCCCGCACAAGCCGUGAGGGAGAAUCGGAGCAACACCGGGUACGGGCGCGGCAGCCGCGGUGGACGGGGAGGGGGAGAUUUCCGUAAUCGCGAUUUCGGGAAUGUGAAUGUUAAUGGAUCCUCGGGAGGCUACGGUGGUGGUGGUGGUGCUAGAGGUGAAGAG
rnacentral:misc_RNA from 1 species